rnacentral:rRNA from 1 species
CCUACGGGUGGCAGCAGUGAGGAAUAUUGGUCAAUGGACGAGAGUCUGAACCAGCCAAGUAGCGUGAAGGAUGACUGCCCUAUGGGUUGUAAACUUCUUUUAUAUGGGAAUAAAAUGUUCCACGUGUGGGAUUUUGUAUGUACCAUAUGAAUAAGGAUCGGCUAACUCCGUGCCAGCAGCCGCGGUAAUACGGAGGAUACGAGCGUUAUCCGGAUUUAUUGGGUUUAAAGGGAGCGUAGGUGGAUUGUUAAGUCAGUUGUGAAAGUUUGCGGCUCAACCGUAAAAUUGCAGUUGAAACUGGCAGUCUUGAGUACAGUAGAGGUGGGCGGAAUUCGUGGUGUAGCGGUGAAAUGCUUAGAUAUCACGAAGAACUCCGAGUGCGAAGGCAGUUCACUGGACUGCAACUGACACUGAGGCUCGAAAGUGUGGGUAUCAAACAGGAUUAGAUACCCGAGUAGUC